CUCGUCGACGCUUAUCAGCAUAACUCUUUUGCCUACUCUGGGCUAUCAACAAUCGCUCCCGAGCAAUGCGAACCUUGUCCUCUGCUUCCUGGAGCACAUCGGGGCCUAAAGCCAAUCUCUCGCCAACUUCACUCCAAUGAAGUGGCGAUCUACACUUUCGUCCGUAGAGUGCCUCGAAAGGUGCCAUCUUGAUGCUUGCUUGAUAACUGUUGUUAUAAGCAAACUCUGCCAUCGGUAGAUGCUGCGACCAUCC
rnacentral:lncRNA from 1 species